ACGUUGAAACACCGAUUCCCAUAGGAUCACUGAAGUUAAGCAACGUUGAGCCUGGUCAGUACCUAGUUGGCUGACCGCGCGGGAAUACCAGAUGCUGUAA